rnacentral:rRNA from 1 species
AUUGAACGCUGGCGGCGUGCUUAACACAUGCAAGUCGCGCGGAAAGGCCACUUCGGUGGUACUCGAGCGGCGAACGGGUGAGUAACACGUGAGUAAUCUGCACCUGGCUUUGGGAUAGCCACCGGAAACGGUGAUUAAUACCGGAUAUGACAACGUCUCGCAUGGGGUGUGGUGGAAAGUUUUUCGGCCAGGGAUGUGCUCGCGGCCUAUCAGCUUGAUGGUGAGGUAAUGGCUCACCAUGGCUUCGACGGGUAGCCGGCCUGAGAGGGUGACCGGUCACACUGGGACUGAGACACGGCCCAGACUCCUACGGGAGGCAGCAGUGGGGAAUAUUGGACAAUGGGCGGAAGCCUGAUCCAGCAACGCCGCGUGAGGGAUGACGGCCUUCGGGUUGUAAACCUCUUUCAGUACCGACGAAGCGCAAGUGACGGUAGGUACAGAAGAAGCACCGGCCAACUACGUGCCAGCCGCCGCUGUAAAAC